CCUGUAUGAUUUUGAACACAUUUAGACAAGAACACAAAGGGCGGUGACAGAAAUGAAACGUUCAGAAUGACUGCAGCUGCAGCUGUCCAAGUUCUUUCUUUCCAGCUGACAAAGAUGUUUUCAUUUGUCUGAAAUCAGAGCUUCAUCUGAGGGUUUUCCCUCUGCAGAGACUUCCUAUAGGCUGUAUGUAAACAAUCGGCCCCCAGAAGGCCUCUUUGAAACAGUUUGGACAAAGCCACGCUCCAUUACAGGUAUUACAAAAGGAACAAAAAGUCAACGCCCACUACAAAUCACCAACCAGAGGGAUUAGUCCAAUCCCUCUGUCUCCAUGCUGUUGCUGAUAAAAAGCUUAUUACAGUCGAAAUUGGUUAGUCAUUCUACAGAUUUGUUGUAACCGAGGGCCUAAAGGAUGGGUUUGGAGUGUUGUGAUCAGCGCUCAGUUUAAAUUUAAACUCUUUCGUCCCCCAGUGAUUGUUUGUGUGAGUGAAACUGUUGGGAGAAGAGGGGAAACAGAAGUCCAACGUGCAUUUCCUGCAGACAUAUGCUUUGAUUUCAGCCUGGCCAAACACAAUGGGGAGGGAGACUGCCCUCGCUCAGCAACGACCCAACAGGAAGAAGCGUGUUCACCCGACAGGACAGAAGACAUUCCAAUGGGACGCUUCAGUCUUCAGCCCCGACACGUCUCUCAGCAGAGUGGCAGCAGUGGCGCCGGGGCAUCGACCUUUUAGACACAACUACUGUAUCACUCAACGUCUAAUCCCUUCCCCCCACCCCUUCCAUCUUCCUCCUUCCUUCUCUUUAGUCAUCUCCUUCUUCCUCCGAUUAUGAAACGAGGAUUUAUUCUCGUCCCCUCCACUUGCACCGUCAUUUACCAUCAGAGAGCUGUUUUUGACAGUUAUUGUGAUUCAUGCUUGUUGUGUGUGAAAAUCAGACGACUGUGACUAAUUCUGAGUGUCUCCGCAAAAAAAAGCAUGUCCAACUGAAUCGUCCGCUCAGUUUCUUUUUCGACAUAUAUGCUAGACAUGUAGUUGGUGUUUCAGUGAUGCUGAGAUGUUCGAAGCUGUCGGGAGAAAAAGGUCACGUUUUUGUUUUUGAGAAUGACAAGUUCCUGUAAGCCGACUGGAGAGCAUCCAUCACUUGGUUCAGCACGUCGGAGUCGCUUCUUUCACAACCUUCAGCUCUUGUUUUUCUUUCUAAUGGCCCUCAUGUGUGUGUCGUAUUAUUGUUCUCUCGUGUGUGGCCCCGUGUUGUAAACCACACACCAUGCAUGUCCAUAUUUUCCUUUUUUUUCUUUAACUACAUUAACACAUCAUGCCCCCGCCUCUAGUCUUUUGAGUGGCAGUGAUUCAUCCGGGAUGAGUCAGUUCAUUUCCGGGUUCUGAGAACAUGAACAGAAACAGAGACAAAGAAUUUUAAAGGCUUUCAUCUUCUGUCACGAUCGUGUUUUCACGUUUACAGCCCGGUUUUUGGGUACACUAAAAGAGGACAAGGUGUGUGUUCUUGUUAUUUAAG